UAUGUCUUUAAAUCCUAUAUGUGUGACUAAGAAAGUAAGAAAUUCAUUCAACAUUUAUGUGUGUCUCUGAUUAACAUCGAUUAAUAGCUGCGUGACGGCGCCAUGCACAUCCAUGCCAACAAUUACGUAAAUAUACUUCCUCCAAUAAUGAAUAUACAAUGUUGUAGAUAUUUCAAUAUUGACUACAUAUAGAUUGAAAUAAGUGUACAUCCAAUUCACAAAAAUAGUCUACUACUCCUAUGUGUGAACAUUAUUCCGUUAUAAUAAAAUAAAAGGUUUGUUGCUCCCGUUGAGAUUAAUUACUCCCGUCCAGCUUGUUAAAGAUGAACUACCCGUCCAGCUUGUCGACGGGGGAGCCAGAAGCAGGAGCCAAGGCGCCGCUCCUUUUCUCCGGCAAUCGUCGGCGUAGACCUUCCGCGCCUGGCCAGCGCAACACGGCGCCUGCCCUUCCGUUUUUCCCGGUGUCCCUCGCGCGGAAGAUCGCAAGGAGCGACCUAGCGCGGCUGGGUUCGGCUAAACCAGCUAGAUUCGCGCCUCGAGCAGCUGCUUCCGAGCGAGGCGACCCACGGUCAAGGAAUGCUCUCCAACCAAAAUGGCGCCAGCCUCGGAUGCUAGCGCGCGGCUUGCCCAGCUCAGUUGCGGGGAUCGGCCGCCCUGCAGGUGUUCGGUGAAUUGCCCCACCGGGGGCAUUGCGCCGCUGGCGUCCGAUGCUCCGGUGCUGGAUUCAAGGUCUUAGCACGAGGGUAAGCCGGUGCCUUGCUCGACUUGGGUGGUUUGGACCAAUUAUGGAGUCGCGGCAGCCGGCGAGUAUUUGUGGCAAAAUGGCAAGCUUUUUUACUCUAAAAAAUUCUACUCCCUCCAUUCGGAAUUACUUGUCGUAGAAAUGGAUGUAUCUAGUUGCUAAAAGACAUAGGUGAUGCAUAAGGAUGAACGGACGCAUGUCGUAUCUUUCAUCGUUCUUUUCAUAGAUAAAAUGAGCUGGACUGCUGUCUCUGUGCUU